rnacentral:rRNA from 1 species
CCUACGGGAGACAGCAGUGUGGAAUAUUGGGCAAUGGGCGCAAGCCUGACCCAGCAACGCCGCGUGAAGGAAGAAGGCUUUCUGGUUGUAAAAUUCUUUUCUCAGGGACGAAGCCAGUGACGGUUCCUGAUGCAUAAGCCACGGCUAACUACGUGCCAGCAGCCGCGGUAAUACGGAGGUGGCAAGCGUUAUCCGGUUUUACUGGGUGUAAAGGGCGUGUAGGCGGGAAAGCAAGUCAGAUGUGAAAACCAUGGGCUCAACCUGUGGCCUGCAUUUGAAACUGUUUUUCUUGAGUACUGGAGAGGCAGACGGAAUUCCUAGUGUAGCGGUGAAAUGCGUAGAUAUUAGGAGGAACACCAGUGGCGAAGGCGGUCUGCUGGACAGCAACUGACGCUGAGGCGCGAAAGCGUGGGGAGCAAACAGGAUUAGAUACCCUUGUAGUC